AUGCUGAUCUUGAGGAAAUGGCAGUGAAGAAGAUGAAAUUCUUAUUGGCAAGAAAUUUACAAACUCCUUGGAAAAACAGACAAGCAAAUUGAUGUGAAUGAUGUUUAAACUGAAGCAGAAUGAAGUAUAAAACAUCCUUUAAGAUCACUUCAGUGACACAAUACCCCAAGAAUUCUGGAAGGCACACUGACUGCGUAUCUACAAGGUUUCUAAGAAAACUCCUUUAAAUAUGACAGAUGGCAUUUGAGGAACCGAGAAGAAAAAUAAAACAGAGUAUACUCAUGAAUUUUAAAGAAUACCAGGUAUGCCAAAACUAUAUUCUCCCAUACUGCUUACUAACAAGACCCCAAAUCUGACAUUGUGCUAUGCAGCUAAAUAAGUCCCAGAGGAAAUUCCUGAUCCUUUGGCCUGCAUGAAAAUGUUGACUCCGUAACAGAUAUUUAGCUAAGGCUGGUUGGAGAGAGCCACCAGCUGGAGCCUGUAAUAUACAUGGUGAAAUACUA